rnacentral:rRNA from 1 species
UGAACGUUGGCGGUGUGCCUAAUACAUGCAAGUCGAACGAAGAUGAUAGCAAUAUUGUCUUAGUGGCGAACGGGUGAGUAACGCGUUGGUGACCUGCCCCGAAGUGUGGAAUAACAAUUCGAAAGAAUUGCUAAUACCGCAUGUGAUCUUGGAGAUUAGAACCUCUUUGAUUAAAGGAUUUAUUCGCUUCGGGAGGGGCCUGCGUCCCAUCAGCUAGUUGGUAGGGUAAUGGCCUACCAAGGCUUUGACGGGUAGGGGACCUGGGAGGGUGGCCCCCCACAAUGGAACUGAAACACGGUCCAUACACCUACGGGUGGCAGCAGUAGGGAAUAUUGCACAAUGGGCGAAAGCCUGAUGCAGCAACGCCGCGUGUGCGAUGAAGGCCUUCGGGUCGUAAAGCACUUUUCUGAGGGAUGAGCAAGGACAGUACCUCAGGAAUAAGUCUCGGCUAACUACGU